ACAACAACAUUCGGACCGCCGGUCUACCGAGCAAUAUCACCCGCUCGGUGGAAGAUCUUCCCUCCGUCGUUAAGC
rnacentral:pre_miRNA from 1 species